UACGUAGGGUGCAAGCGUUAAUCGGAAUUACUGGGCGUAAAGCGUGCGCAGGCGGUCUUUUAAGUCAGAUGUGAAAUCCCUCAGCUUAACUGGGGAACUGCGUCUGAUACUGGAUGGCUUGAGUUUGGGAGAGGGAUGCGGAAUUCCAGGUGUAGCGGUGAAAUGCGUAGAUAUCUGGAGGAACACCGGUGGCGAAGGCGGCAUCCUGGACCAACACUGACACUGAUGAGCGAAAGCCAGGGGAGCAAACGGG
rnacentral:rRNA from 1 species